UGCGGGAUGGAGCAGCCCGGUCAGCUCGACAGCCCCAUAAGCUGUAGGUCAGAGGUUCAAAUCCUCUUCCCGCUACCA
rnacentral:tRNA from 1 species